rnacentral:rRNA from 1 species
UACGUAGGGUGCAAGCGUUUGUCCGGAAUUAUUGGGCGUAAAGAGCUCGUAGGCGGUUUGUUGCGUCGGCUGUGAAAUCCCGAGGCUCAACCUCGGGUCUGCAGUCGAUACGAGCAAACUAGAGUGUUGCAGGGGAGACUGGAAUUCCUGGUGAUAGCGGUGAAAUACGCAGAUAUCAGGAGGAACACCGGUGGCGAAGGCGGGUCACUGGCCCGGUACUGACGCUGGAGGUGACGAAAAGCGUGGGGGAGCAAACAGG